ensembl:lncRNA
AAUAUAGUGAAUUGAGUAAACAGAAAACCUUUGGGCAUAUUCUAAACCACAUGAUCACAUCAGUGCCCCUCACUGAAACGGCAUUAACUUGGAAUGAAGUUUGCACAGGCACAAGAAUCCGUGUGGGCCAGCUUGCAAAAUAGGAGCACUGGUUUAGAUUAAUGUGGUAGAGGGCAUGUGUGUUUCUUUCCUUCCAGCGACUAUUUGUCUGGAGAAUUUUCUGCUGCUUUAUAUUAUUCUGGCUAUUGAUCCAGAACAGAACAUGAUAGAAUCUUUGGGCCUCACCCUAUGUCAAGAUAAAUAACAGAGUUGCGCUGUCUUCAUUAGCUCUGCGCUGAUUUACAGGGCCGAUCCUCAAGCCUCUUUUCUAAAAGACAAGAGAAUUAGAAGAGCAUUGUGGAAUGUUGCAGGGAGACAUUAAAGCAGGAGGAUCUGUGACUUUGAAUUUACUUUGAACUAAGGUUUUCUUCUAUCUCCAAUAAUAGAUAAUUCUCCUAAGGAGUUUACUACAUGUGCUUCAAUGGCAUACUUAAAAUCUCCUACAUGGAAAUUAUCCUCAUAGAGACCUGAUGUUCCUGAUCCGACAAAGAAGAGAUAAUGAACAGUAAUAUCACAAAAGAGACAGAUAUCUGCCACUCAAGCUAAUGAAGUAGGUUUGGUAGAAAACCAGCGAGUUGCCUUCCUCUGUACAGACUGUACAGACUUAGUUUUUGAGGGAGAAGGUCUUGGCGCAACUGAAAGGACGUGUCAUCAUUCUCCUUGCCAGCAGCCCAGGGAAAAGAUUUACAAGAACAUAUAUGGGAAUUUCUGUCAAUGUCAUCUUCAAAAUGCUGCCAAAGAACGUAGGUGUGGCUUUGACUUCAAAUCAGUGCAAGACAUAACUGAGAAUACCUAACUGCUUCUUUAGCCGGUAAAGA